rnacentral:lncRNA from 1 species
GGUGAGGUCUCCGGCGAGUAUUUGAGAUGAACACGAUGAGGACAUCCGUGGCUUCAACGAAAAAAUUCGAGAAAAAUAAAAGAAGAAAUCUGGUGCUCGUCAUGGCUAGCUUUAGAAGAGAGAAAGAGGAUUUUAUAGAGGUGAUUUUCUACCCCUAAUUGGACUCUAUCGAUCCGAUUUUGCCGGAGUCGGAGAGGAAGAAGACUCUGGUUAGGAGUCUUCCUCCUCCUCCCGUCGGGCCCUGUUUUGGGCUCUUCAGAUUUUGCAAGGCCCAAGAGCCCUGUGGGCUGGGCUGUUACAAAAAUACACCACCCCGGUUGAAACUAAGACAACCCCUCCUCAGAUGUCCUCCUUCCCCAC